AACAGAAGUGAAACGCUGUUAACGAAAGGGAGGAAGUGUCUCUGGAUGGACCAAACAACAGAUGUCCUCUCCAGCCAUCACUGCAAAUGUUGAUCAUUAUGGGAAAGGUUUGUCAUAGCUUUCCUGCCAAGAAGUAAUCAUCUUCUAAUUUCAUGGCAGCAACCUAGACAGUGACAAACCUAGAUGGUGUAUUAAAAAGCAAAGGCAUCACUUUGCCAACAAUACAGGCAGAUAUGUCUAAGAAUUUGUCUUUCCACUAAUCAUGUACUGAUGUGAGAGUUGGAACAUAAAGAAGGCUGAGCACCAAAAAUUGAUGCUUUUGAAUGGUGGUGCCAGAGAAGACUCUUGAGAGUUCCUUGGACACCAAAAUCAAACCAGUUAAUCCUAAAGGAAAUCAAACCUGAAAACUCACUGGAAGGACUGAGGCUGAAGCUGAAGCUCCAAUACUUUGGCCAUCUGAUACAAAGAGCCAACUCAUUGGAAAAGACCCUGAUGCUGGGAAAGACUGAAGGCAGAAGAAGAGGGUGACAGGGAAUAAGAUGGUUGGAUGGCAUCACCAAUUCAAUGAAAAUGAACUUGGGCAAACUCAAGGAGAUGGCGAGGGACAGGAAGGCCUGUACCAAUAGGUUUUACAUACUACAGUAAGAGUAGCCUAUGAAAGAAGAAAGAGUCUAAGCCCUAAACAGUUAGGGCAACAGAAAGGAAAGUCAGCUCUCCAGUAAAGCAAAUACUACAGAAAUGAUGUUAGACAUAGAGCAAAUUUCAGUGACUUUUUUAUUGGAAUUCAAAAUGGAUCAUAAAGCAAUAGAGACAACUCAAAACAGCAACAACAUAUUUGACCCAGGAACUGCUAGUGAACAGAGAGUGCUGUUGUGAUUCAAGAAGUUUUGCAAAGGAGACAAGAGCCUUGAAGAUGAGGAGCACAGUGAUCAGCCAUUGGAAGUUGGCAAUAAACAAUUGAGAGCAAUCAUCAAAGCUGAUCCUCUUAAAACUACCUGAGAAGUUGUCCAUGAACUCAACAUAGACCCUUCUGUGGUCAUUUAGCAUUUGAAGCAAACUGGAGAGG
ensembl:lncRNA